AGAGUCUGAAACAUAGUCGCUGGUGUUGAAAAGCACGAGAGGAAAGUCCGGGCAACACAGGGCAGAAUGCUGGUUAAUCGCCAGGCAGUGUGAGCUGAUGGAAAGUGCAACAGAAAAUAUACCGCCGAUGGUCUUUCAUGGACACAGGUAAGGUUGAAAAGGCAGGGUAAGAGCCUACCGCGCCUUUGGUGACAAAGGCGGCAAUGUAAACCCCAUUCGUUGCAAGUCCAAAUAGAACUGCAAUUAGGCGGCCCGUCUAGCAGUUGGGUAGGAUGCUUGAAAUUCUUGGUAACGAGAAUUCUAGAUAAAUGACUAUGACUUGCUGGUACAGCAAGAACAGAACCCGGCUUAUUGAUGACUCUAAAA
rnacentral:RNase_P_RNA from 1 species